GUGGUCCGGAACCCCCCCGACGUCCACGGCAAUCCGGCGCAGACCGUGCUGACCGUCACGCGGCAGGACACUUCUCUGCGCUUCACGAGCUUCUUCGCGCUAGUGGUGCUGGUGCUCUUCCCCUCCGCCGUGAUCCUCCUGGUGCAGCUGGGCAGGAUGUGCUGCAGCAGGUUCGACUGUGGAGAGGGCAAGAGGCGGGAUUCCAAAGCGUGUCCCAUCGAGGUGAUGGACAGAGAGGACACGGGCCCCAAGAAGCCUACAUUGAAGGACAGAAUUGCAUGGUGCUGCUUCAAGUGCUUUCAGGACUCUGACUAUGAAGACUACGACGUGGAAGAGCCCUUGCGACACCAUGAGCCUGUGGCAGAAUCUCACUGCUAGCGCCCUCUGCUGGGCGGGUCGGGGAAUUGCGGGACUGCCUCUUGAGCCCACAGAGUCAGCGGUGCCUGGGCUGUCGCUGGACUGAACUCUUGCGAGACCUGCUUCAGCAGAGAGCCCCCUUGGCUUACAGCUAAAUGCCCAGCGGAUCGCAUAACCUGGAAGAAUACCAGGCUUGAUGACUGCACUCCCAUCCCAUUUCAGAUCUGUCUGAAGCCAACAGAUUGAUUCUGAACUCCCAUUCCAGAACAGGAUUUACAAGUUUAAUGCGUCGAUGACUUUCCUCCCUAAGAACUUCUCCAGCCUGCCCGUUCUGGGAAAGAUCUAGUUCUUUCUGAAGAAAUGCAGACAUGAAGAUUAGUCCUAUGAAGAAAGUCCUUUUUUUCCCUCUGGGCUAUAUUCUCAGAUUAAGUUUAAAUUUGUAAUUUUGGAUUAAGUUAUUUCUUCGAUAAUGCCGAGCAUCAGUUAUUCUUUAAUAGUGGUAUUAAAUGUCUAUUUAUGUGA